rfam:Ovis aries breed Texel chromosome 4, whole genome shotgun sequence.
UUCCUGGUAGCUCAGAUGGCAAAGAAUCUGCCUGCAAUGCAGAAGACCUAGGUUCAGUCUCCGGGUCAGGAAU